GUAGGUGGCAAGCGUUGUCCGGAAUUAUUGGGCGUAAAGCGCGCGCAGGCGGUUCUUUAAGUCUGAUGUGAAAGCCCACGGCUCAACCGUGGGAGGGGUCAUUGGAAACUGGAGAACUUGAGUACAGAAGAGGAAAGCGGAAUUCCACGUGUAGCGGUGAAAUGCGUAGAGAUGUGGAGGAACACCAGUGGCGAAGGCGGCUUUUCUGGUCUGUAACUGACGCUGAGGCGCGAAAGCGUGGGGAGCAAACAGGGAUUAGAUACCCUGGUAGUCCACGCCGUAAACGAUGAGUGCUAAUGUUAGGGGGUUUCCGCCCCCUUAGUGCUGCAGCUAACGCAUUAAGCACUCCGCCUGGGGAGUACGGCCGCAAGGCUG
rnacentral:rRNA from 1 species